rnacentral:rRNA from 1 species
UACGUAGGUCCCAAGCGUUGUCCGGAUUUAUUGGGCGUAAGGCGAGCGCAGGUGGUUUCUUAGGUCUGAUGUAAAAGGCAGUGGCUCAACCAUUGUGUGCCUUGGAAACUGGGAGACUUGAGUGCAGGAGAGGAAAGUGGAAUUCGAUGUGUAGCGGUGAAAUGCGUAGAUAUAUGGAGGAACACCGGAGGCGAAAGCGGCUCUCUGGCCUGUAACUGACACUGAGGCUCGAAAGCGUGGGGAGCAAACAGG